ensembl:lncRNA
GUCACUUCCUGUUAUGGGCUGAAUUGUGUUCAGCCUCAUCCCAGGACCUCAGAAUGUGACUGUGUUUGGAGAAAGGGCCUUUAAAGAGGUGAUUAAGGCAAAAUGAGGUCACAGGGGUGGACCCUAAGGCAUGAUGGGUGGUGUCCUUAUAAGAAGAGAUUGGGACAUUGCCAUGCACAGAGGGAGGAGCAGGUGCAGACGAAGGGAGAAAAUGGCAUCCACAAGCCAAGGAGGGAGGCCGCAGGAUGAAAUCAACCCUGCCAACGCCUGGAGCUCACAGUUCCAGCCUCCAGAACAGUGAGAAAGCAAAUUUCUGUUCUUUAACCGCCUGUCUGUGGUAUUCCGUCAUGGCGCCGAGCCAGCCAACGAACCUCUUAACAGUUCAGUGGGCAGUGGGCAGGGCUAGCAUCACUGGUCCUGGGGCCCCGAGGGGAUACACUGAGAAGGACACAGUGUCCCCUAUGGAGUAUUCUUCCCUUGACUGGAUUACUGGAAUCUAACCAUGAGGAAAUGCCAAACAAAUCCAGAAAGCGAGGCUGUCCACAAGACAUCCCCAUCCAGAAUAUGAAGAACUCCAACUCAACAACAAAACCCCCAAAUAACCCAACUUAAAAACGGGCAAAGGACUCGAAUAGACAUUUCUCUAGAGAAGAUCAAGAAAUGGCCAAGAAGCAUAUGAAAAGAUGCUCGACAUCAGUAAUCAUUAGAGAGAUGCAAGUCAAAACAACAACGGAUAUCAGCUCAUACCCGUUAGAAUGGCUACUAUCAAAAAACAGAAACUAAGUAUUGGGGUGGACGUGGAGAAAUCAGAGCCCUUGCGCAAGUUAGUUCCUGUAUCUGCAGAUCAACCUCCCGUGUUGCUAGAAUGAGAGUGAGUCGGGAAUCAAUCCUGCUGCUGUUUUUCUCUAAGUGCUGAGAAACCGUGUCAGUUUCCUGUGGCUGCGGCAAGAAAUGACCACAAACUGGGCGGCCAAACCAACAGAAAUUUGUUCUCCUCCAGUUCUGGAGGCCAGAAGUCAGAAGUCAGUGCCACUCGGCCGAAAUCAAGGUGCCCGCAGGGCCCCACUCCUUCUAUGGGCUCUGGGGAGAGUCUGCUCUUUGCUUCUUCCAGCUUCUGGGGGCCGCCAGCAUUCCGUGGCUUGCGGCCGCGUCACUCCUGUCUUCAAGGCCAGCUUCAAACCUCUCUCUGCUCUUGCCUUCAUGUCGCCUCCUCCUGUUUGUGUCAAAUCUCCCUCUGCCUUUCUUUUAUAAAGAUACAUGUGAGCCCACUUGGAUAAUCCAGGAGAAUCUCCCCUUUUUAAGAUACUUAAUUUAAUAACAUCUGCAAAGACCCUUUUCCAAAUAAGGGAACAUUUACGGGUUUCAGAGAUGAGGACAUGGAUAUCUUUUGGGGAGCCAUUUUCAGCCUACGACAAAAACUUGGUUCAUUGAAUCGCCCAGAAAGCAUUUAUUGAACACCUACUUCGUGCCAGGCAUUGUCUAGGCUCUGAAGAUACAGAUAUGAACAAAACAGAGAUCCCUACCCUCCGGGAGCUGACAUUCUAAGGCUGCACCAUCCAAAAGGGUGGGGACGAGCCCUUUGUGGCUGUUGAGCCCUCGAAAUGUGACUAGUCCAAACUGAGAUGUGUCGAAGGGUAAAAUACACACUGGAUUUUAAGAUGUAGCACACACAAAAAUAAUGUUAAAUAUCUCAGAAAUUUUUCAAAUUGAUUAUGUGUUGAAGUGAUAAUAUUUGGGACAUACUGGGCUAAAUCAAAUAUGUUAUUAAAAUUAAUUUGACUUGCU